CAGUCGCCACGGUAAUACGAAGGGGGCUAGCGUUGUUCGGAAUUACUGGGCGUAAAGGGCGCGUAGGCGGAUAUUUAAGUUGGGGGUGAAAGCCCGGGGCUCAACCUCGGAAUUGCCUUCAAUACUGGAUAUCUUGAGUUCGGGAGAGGUGAGUGGAAUGCCGAGUGUAGAGGUGAAAUUCGUAGAUAUUCGGCGGAACACCAGUGGCGAAGGCGACUCACUGGCCCGAUACUGACGCUGAGGCGCGAAAGCGUGGGGAGCAAACAGGAUUAGAUACCCGCGUAGUCCCUGUCUCUUAUAC
rnacentral:rRNA from 1 species